rnacentral:rRNA from 1 species
CCUAUGGGGGGCUGCAGUGGGGAAUAUUGGACAAUGGGCGAAAGCCUGAUCCAGCCAUGCCGCGUGUGUGAAGAAGGCCUUCGGGUUGUAAAGCACUUUCAGUGGGGAAGAAAGCCUUGGGGCUAAUACCCUCGAGGAAGGACAUCACCCACAGAAGAAGCACCGGCUAACUCCGUGCCAGCAGCCGCGGUAAUACAGGAGGGUGCGAGCGUUAAUCGGAAUUACUGGGCGUAAAGCGCGCGUAGGCGGUCUGAUAAGCCGGUUGUGAAAGCCCCGGGCUCAACCUGGGAACGGCAUCCGGAACUGUCAGGCUAGAGUGCAGGAGAGGAAGGUAGAAUUCCCGGUGUAGCGGUGAAAUGCGUAGAGAUCGGGAGGAAUACCAGUGGCGAAGGCGGCCUUCUGGACUGACACUGACGCUGAGGUGCGAAAGCGUGGGUAGCAAACAGGAUUAGAUACCCCAGUAGUC